rnacentral:rRNA from 1 species
AGUUUUGAGCUAAAUAUAUUAUAAUAUUAGUUAUUUAUAAAGGUGUUGUAAAACCUUAUUAAAAAUUAUAUUUAGGGGUGAUAGGCCUUUCAAAAACUAAGAUAUCUUGAAUCUAAUUAAAAGUAUGUAGUACAUUCGACACAACUAUUAAGUGAUUAGGCUUUAUAGAAUUAUUAACUUAUAAAGAUUUUAUUUACUAUAAUUUAAUAAUUAAGUAUGUAAAUAUAUUAAUAUAUAUAUAUUAUAAUUUAUAAAGAGUAAUUGGAUAAAUUAAAGUUCAUAAAUUUUGUAAUAAUGUUAAUAUUAGUAUUAAGUUUAUAUUUAUAUGAUGAACUCGGCAAAAAUGCUUCUCAACUGUUUAUCAAAAACAUAACUAUGUGAAUUAAUACAUAGCGGUUUCUGCUCAA